rnacentral:rRNA from 1 species
UACGGAGGGUCCAAGCGUUAUCCGGAAUCAUUGGGUUUAAAGGGUCCGUAGGCGGUUUUGUAAGUCAGUGGUGAAAGCCCAUCGCUCAACGGUGGAACGGCCAUUGAUACUGCAAGACUUGAAUUAUUAGGAAGUAACCUAGAAUAUGUAGUGUAGCGGUGAAAUGCUUAGAUAUUACAUGGAAUACCAAUUGCGAAGGCAGGUUACUACUAAUUGAUUGACGCUGAUGGACGAAAGCGUGGGGAGCGAACAGG